GACGAACGCUGGCGGCGUGCCUAACACAUGCAAGUCGAACGGAGAUACUUGUAGCAAUAUGGGUAUCUUAGUGGCGGACGGGUGAGUAACGCGUGAGCAACCUGCCCUUCGGAGGGGGACAACAGCUGGAAACGGCUGCUAAUACCGCAUGAUAUAUAUUAACGGCAUCGUUGAUAUAUCAAAGAUUUAUCGCCGAAGGAUGGGCUCGGGUGUGAUUAGCUAGUUGGUGAGGUAAUGGCUAACCAAGGCUGCGAUCAGUAGACGUACUGAGAGGUUGAACGGCAACAUUGGGGCUGAGAUACGGCCCAGACUCCGACUAGAGGCAGCAGUGGGGAAUAUUGUGCAAUGGGGGCAACCCUGACCCCGCAACGCCGCGUGAAGGAAGAAGGCUUUCGGGGUGUAAACUUCUUUGACGAGGGACGAAACAAAUGACGGUACCUCGAAAACAAGCCACGGCUAACUACGUGCCAGCCGCCGCGGUAA
rnacentral:rRNA from 1 species